GUCUUUUAGAAAAAAAUUAAAAGUCUAAUCUGCCCAGUGAUUAUUAAAUGGCCGCGGUAAACUGACCGUGCAAAGGUAGCAUAAUAAUUAGUCUUUUAAUUGAAGGCUUGUAUGAAUGAUUGAAUGAAAGAUUUUCUUUAUUGUUUUUAACAUUUUAAUUUAAUUUUUAAGUAAAAAAGCUUAAAUUAUUGUGUGGGACGAGAAGACCCUAUAGAGUUUAAAAAUUAGUUUAGUCAAUUAUUUCUGGUUUUUGUUAUUAAAUAGAUUAUGUUAAUUUUUUUGUUGGGGUGAUAUUAAAAUUUAAAAAACUUUUAAUUUAUUUUUCAUUAAUUAAUGAUUUUAUGUUCUUAUUUUUAAAGUAAAGGACUAAAUUACCUUAGGGAUAACAGCGUAAUUAAACUAUAGAGUUCUAAUCGACAGUUUAGUUUGCGACCUCGAUGUUGGAUUAAGAAAAGAUUUUGGGGCAAGUUCUAUUAUGUCUAGGUCUGUUCGACCUUUAAAUUCUU
rnacentral:rRNA from 1 species